CUUCAAACACUAUCUUCAUGGAAAUGUCCUUGAAAACUUAAUAGAUGAAAGCAUAACUAUACAUUAAGAUAUAAGGAAACUAGAUCUAAGUUCUUUGUAUUAUCUUUCUGACAAAUAAUGCCAUACAAUUCAGUUUCAUCUAUGUUAUUUGUAACACAACACUUAUUAUUUCACAUUCUCAAAAGUUAAAAGAAAAAAAAGAAACAGACACAUAUUAGAUAGUAAUUUUAUAUUAUUGUAUGCUAAAAAA
rnacentral:lncRNA from 1 species